AUGAACGCUGGCGGCGUGCCUAAUACAUGCAAGUCGAGCGAACAGACGAGGAGCUUGCUCCUCUGACGUUAGCGGCGGACGGGUGAGUAACACGUGGAUAACCUACCUAUAAGACUGGGAUAACUUCGGGAAACCGGAGCUAAUACCGGAUAAUAUAUUGAACCGCAUGGUUCAAUAGUGAAAGACGGUUUUGCUGUCACUUAUAGAUGGAUCCGCGCCGCAUUAGCUAGUUGGUAAGGUAACGGCUUACCAAGGCAACGAUGCGUAGCCGACCUGAGAGGGUGAUCGGCCACACUGGAACUGAGACACGGUCCAGACUCCUACGGGAGGCAGCAGUAGGGAGUCUUCCGCAAUGGGCGAAAGCCUGACGGAGCAACGCCGCGUGAGUGAUGAAGGUCUUCGGAUCGUAAAACUCUGUUAUUAGGGAAGAACAAAUGUGUAAGUAACUAUGCACGUCUUGACGGUACCUAAUCAGAAAGCCACGGCUAACUACGUG
rnacentral:rRNA from 1 species